AGUGAACGCUGGCGGUAGGCCUAACACAUGCAAGUCGAACGAGUGGCGGACGGGUGAGUAAUGUCUGUGAAACUGCCCGUUGGAGGGGGAUAACUACUGGAAACGGUAGCUAAUACCGCAUACCAUCGGAUGUGCCCAUAUGGGCUUAGCUAGUAGGUAGGGUAACGGCUCACCUAGGCAACGAUCCAUAGCUGGUCUGAGAGGAUGACCAGCCACACUGGAACUGAGACACGGUCCAGACUCCUACGGGAGGCAGCAGUGGGGAAUAUUGCACAAUGGGCGAAAGCCUGAUGCAGCCAUGCCGCGUGAAUGAAGAAGGCCUUCGGGUUGUAAAGUACUUUCAGCGAGGAGGCGUUACUCGCAGAGGAAGCACCGGCUAACUCCGUGCCAGCAGCCGCGGUAAUUC
rnacentral:rRNA from 1 species